UAUUAUUGUGUGAGGUGCAAUGUGUGUUUUGAGCUUUAGUAAGAUUUAUUUUAUGGGGCUGGAGAGAUGGCUCAGCCGUUAAAGGCUAGGCUCACAACCAAAAAUAUA
rnacentral:miRNA from 14 species